UACGUAGGGGGCCAGCGUUGUUCGGAAUUACUGGGUGUAAAGGGUUCGUAGGCGGUGCGGCAAGUUGGGAGUGAAAUCUCUGGGCUCAACCCAGAGACGGCUUCCAAAACUGCUGUGCUUGAGUGUGAGAGAGGCUCGUGGAAUUGCAGGUGUAGCGGUGAAAUGCGUAGAUAUCUGGAGGAACACCGGUGGCGAAGGCGGCAUCCUGGACCGACACUGACGCUGAGGAGCGAAAGCCAGGGGAGCAAACGGG
rnacentral:rRNA from 1 species